GGGCGAAGCCCCGAUGGAGUAGUUUUGCCAAUCCAACCGAGGAUUAAUAAUUCCCACUAUGCUUUCGAAUGAAACGCCUGAUAUAUUUGUUUUAUAUCCUACUUUUAAUAAUUUAUUACCAAAAUAUAUGCGCUUAGCUCGCAAAGUCCGGUUACUUGCGUUGAAUUACCUACUUUUCUCCAAGCCACCGCGCUCAGCGGAACGCAGAUUAGUGCCUGUGCCGACGCAUCGUUGGCAUGGUUGGACUUGCCCGGGAGAGAGAGCUCGCUGGUCGGUGCGCCCGAGAGUUUAGCUAUAUAUCCAGUUUCCUGAAAUAAUGACAUCAGAUUAUUGGUAUAGCGACAAAUAUAUCGAGGUCUGACGUCACACAACAUCAUAGUUGAGAUAUUCGGUCACAUGAUGCUAUUUAAACCAAUCACAAUACAGGAUUCAAUCUAUGUAGGAUAUAAUAUCGGAUGUAACAACCCCUUGCUAUAGUGUGAUUUGUAAUCCCUUAGGAUUUUUUUGCCAAAAUUGAUUUUUUUUGUUGUUUUGGUCCCUUUAGGCCAAAAAUGAUUGGGUUCAAAUUUCCAGACCCCUCCUUCCCUUCGUGGGGGGGGGGGGUAAUUUUGUCGCCAUAUUAGACAUGUACAAAGCCAAUCGGAUAAUUUAUUGUUUUCAACCUUCUUUCUCACUUUUCUUCGCCAAUUUUAUUUUUAAGUUGUCUGAGGUGUACAAGAAUUAUUAUUUGAUGAUGUUUUGAUGUAAAUGAUUUUUGCACUUUUUUCACAUGGGGGCAGACUUUGCGAAAAAUGCUGAAAAAUUGUAAAAUAUUACCCCCAUAAUGUAUUUCCCCCUUUUUUUGGCACUAGAAUUAGGACAAAAAGAUUACAAACUGAUAGUCUUGUUAUACAGUCCAAUAACAGAUGAAUACAUCACAUGUAAUUUAUAUGAUUAUUCUUGGUCAAUUGAUGUAAAAAUUAACCCCAUUUCAGGAUUUUAUGCAGUGGAAACCUUACUACAACACUAAAUGGCGCCAUAACCGAUCAUGAUGAUAUAAGUGUGGUACGGUAUGUCACUGACACAGCUCACGUAGGACUUUUGUGUGAAAAAUUAUUUUAUUUUUGGCAUUUUUAGAUUCACUUGGGUCCAAUCUAUCAGAAAGUGAUGGAGUUAAAAUUUUCCCGACCCUCACCCACUGACUGAGGGGGAGGGGGGAAUCAACUCAAGACCCCCAAGACCCCUAAAAUCAGGUGUAUUAGCACCACUAGCGUACCUACGGGGGGGGGGCAGGGGGGCACUCUGCCCCCCUGACGAGUCACAACCAAAGACCUUAUAAUAUAUUACUAGACCGAAAGCUGCGUGCGCGUUCAGCACAAAACAAAUGAGAUUAGGCUCCGCCUACCGCGAUCAUUUGAAGACAAAAAUAAGCCCUCAUUAACAUUCAUGAGCAUGAAGAUAUUCAUAAUCCGGCCUUUUCAUUGGCUAAGAGCGUCAUUAAUACGCGAUUUCCCCGAUUCCUUGUCAUCGAUACUAGUGGUAUCGUGUUACAGAAUUAAUUAUUCAUUUGACCUCAUUACGUCAUCUAAUUUAUUCAUUCUGAAACUUUUCUUUCCACACACGAAGUGGACCUACGAACACUCCGGUGAGUACGUAUAAAUUGAUAUAACCACAUGCAUUCAGUGGACUAUUUACACAUUUCACACUGUAUUUUGUGAUCUUAGGUUAUUUCUUUAACAAAUUAGAGAGUUUGUUAUCAUUCUUCUGUUAAAGGAAAGCAGAAUUUUGUCUUUGAAAUUGAAGUUAGAUUGUCAUCGUCGCCCAGUGCAGCCUGUAUGUUGCUUGCAGUGUUGUGGUUAUGCCGUUAUGCCGCUGUGCCGCUGUGUUAACCACAUUUUGUACGGGCUCCUAGCCGGCUGGGAAUCGAGAGAUAAUCGGGCUGGUUUGGUUCACCUUAGCUCCAACAAGGACCAAAUGAGGCUUCUUUUUGUACACUGUAACGUUGGAUCUAGAGGGAGAUCUGCAUCUAUCUUCAGUAGAUCGAGACUCAGUCAGGAAUAAACUGUGAAGCGGAGUGUGAAUGAAGAUACGCCUGUCAUUGUGUCAAUCCUCAGUCCUCACUUUGUUUCAGAUAUCAAAUUUAUUUUGCAUAACUUCAGGCUUCUGCAUUUAGCCCCCACCCAUUUUAACUCUUAUUGUUAUUUAUAAAUAUAGUUAGACACGGUCUUAGAAAUAACAUGCUGCUCUGCAUGUUUGUCUUAUGACAAUAGAUCUAGGACCUUGAUCUUCUUAAUCCUAGGCCCUACUUACUUUACACUUAGAUCUAGGCUACUUUACUUUUAUUUAUCAAUCGAUGCUAUCAACUAGGCCUACGUAAUUCAAAUCUAGUCUAACUUAUACUUUCCCAACCCUCGACACUUACCCCCAGGGCUUAUGAUCUAGGUCUGUAAUUUAGGCCUAGAUCUAAGUCUGGGCCUAAACGACUCCAUUUGCAUGUACGAGUAUGACUCUCGGUGGACCAAGGACUAGAUCUAGAUCUACUCUCGGUCAAUAGUGGCAAUGAAGUUAGCCAGGAAUAAAAGUCAGAGUCAGACAUCAAAAAUUUCUAAACCGAUAUAGGGUCUAGAUCUCGGUCUAGAACCGAAGCUUUACUUUCUAGGUCUACUCUAGAUAGAUCGAGAGUCCAUCGUUAGUCUAGAUCUAGACCAAAUUUAGAUACAUGAAUGCUGUCGCACAGCACUGAGUCUCGUUGGACUAGAUCUAUACUUUCUUACAAAUAGAUCUAGACCUAGUGCAUGAGAUUAUGAAAUUAUGUUAAAAUCAAAUGAAAUAAGAUUCGGAAAUAAAAAGAUCCAGAUUUUUUUUUUUUUUUUUUGGGGGGGGGCAGACAUGUGAAAAAUUUUAGAGAAACCUAAAAUUUAGAAAGCGAGAGCCAGAAACGACCAAUAUUACCUAGGGCCGUUUUGUUCAUUUUCUAAAGUAAAAUUGAAGGAUGUCAUGCAAUUCUCUUUUUGAUCAUUGAUGAAGGUUUUCACAUUUCAGCUCUUACCCAAACCCCUCCCCCUAUACAUACGGCCAUGAAAAAGAUCACUUCUUAUUAUUGUUCUCUCUUUUCUUUCACAAACAGGUUGAGUUUGAAGAACAAGAAAAGCAGUAGAGGUCUACCUACCGGUAUAUGGUUCAAGAUGAUGAUCAUAAGGGCAUGCAUCAUUUUGCAGAUUCUCAUCCAGGAUGAUGCAGUUUUGCAAUUUCCAUGGAGGUGAUUGAUGAUGAUAAAUAAUUGGUGAAGUAGGCCUAAUAGAACAGCGACUAGACCACAAAGAGAAAUACAACCUACAGCAGUUAUAUGAGACUGGUGUAACAGAUGUUUUCAUUCAAGAAAUCCAACAAUUCAAUAUUGAAGAGUCUGACUUAGGAACCACUUGAUGAAGAUGGAAAAGGUUUUUUUUUUCCAAGUUCAAUUUUUC